CACCCCUCUCACUCCUUUGUCUUGUCUCUGGGAGACUUCCAACUGGGAAUCUCCCGCUGAGGCCACACCUCUAGAUUAGGUUAGUGGCCCCUGAUCCACGCCGCUCCAGCAUUCUGCCAUGAGAAACCUCACUCUGCUGCAGCUUUAUCUUCUAAAUGACGUGCUGAGAACACCCACGAAACUGCAAUACCGGCUAAUCAGCCCCAGCUUCUUCAGAAAGGCUUCUGCUUGUGACUCCAUGAUCUGUAGCUUAUACACUUCACUCUCCUUCCAGUUUUCAAGUACGGAUACCUGCCAGUAGAUCAGAAGACAUAUGAGUAUUUUACAAAUGACAGCCUGAAACUAUUUUAAAGGUUAAAACUUAAACAUUCAAACCACUUUCCCAUUUCUCCUUAAAUGAAGCAUGACAGAAUCAUCAGAACUUGAUUGUAUCAUAGGUGAACAUGAAUUAGACUUUGAGAUUUGAAAACAGAACAAAAUGACAUCACAAAUGCAUACCUUCCAUGAUCCUUUUUGCAGAUAUGAAUAACUGUACAUGGCUUUCUGCUUAAGCUAUAUAUAAGCACAGAGCCAGGUUAACUGCAUGUGUACACGAGUGUGCAUUACCUAUGGUCCUGCAGCAGAAUAACCCUUAAUAAAGGCUGCAUCCUCUGCAAGUUUAGAAAAGCCUCAGAGAAGCUGUUCUCGGCAAGGGCAUCAAAAGCUUCGGGGUAUGCUUUUAAGAUUUUAGACUCUCUGUGGCUUCCCCACAAACCAACUGGCCAUUUUUGUGAGAAUCACUGCAGGAAAUGUAAAAUGGCCUCAUGGUCCAAAUGAUCCAUUAAAUAGCCUUUUAAUCCAGGUGUCAGUAAACUUGACAGGGCCCACCAGGCAAACCUGCUUACCAAACGGUGGUGUGAAUUAAACAAGCUCAGGAAUACGGAUGCUGGUGUAGGACCCAAAAAGUAUUCAUACUUUGGCUCUUUUUCCUUUCCUGUCCUUAGAAGCAGGUGCAUAGUCAAUUCUUAAUUGAAAAGCCUAAUGUUUGCAGACUGUAUAAACUAAGUCUUUUCUUACUUUACCAGAAUAAUCACAGACACAUAUGCCAAUAAAUAUCAUUUGUUUCUCAGCUACAGAAAC
rnacentral:lncRNA from 1 species